CCUACGGGGGGCUGCAGUGGGGAAUUUUGGACAAUGGGCGAAAGCCUGAUCCAGCAAUGCCGCGUGAGUGAAGAAGGCCUUCGGGUUGUAAAGCUCUUUUGUUUGGGAAGAAAUCCCUAAGGAUAAUACCCUUGGGGGAUGACGGUACCAAAAGAAUAAGCACCGGCUAACUACGUGCCAGCAGCCGCGGUAAUACGUAGGGUACUAGCGUUGCUCGGAAUUUCUGCACGUGGUGCGUGCGCAGACGGUUGAAAUCCCCGAGAUAAACUUGGGAACUGCACUUGUGACUGCAAGACUAGAGUGUGUCAGAGGGAGGUAGAAUUCCACGUGUAGCAGUGAAAUGCGUAGAUAUGUGGAGGAAUACCAGUGGCGAAGGCGGCCUCCUGGGAUAACACUGACGCUCAUGUACGAAAGCGUGGGGAGCAAACAGGAUUAGAUACCCGAGUAGUC
rnacentral:rRNA from 1 species